ACAUAUCACACUGAAACAACGGCUCUCGUGCGAUCUGCGAAGUUAAGCAACGUUAGAGCCUGGUCAGUACAUAGAUAGUUCACCUCUUGGGAAUAACAAGUGCUGUAUG